rnacentral:lncRNA from 1 species
AUCACACUAUACAUUAAAAGGAAAUGACCUCAAGAAAUAUUGUAAGACAUCAAUAUUUUCUAUUGUAAAUAAGUUUGGACUUCCUCUUCUCUAACACAACAAUAUUUAUUAAGACUAUCUCCCGUCUUUUUACCAAAAAAAAAAAAAAAAACAAUAUUUAUUAAGUGUGAUUCGGUUUCAUUUGGUUUCCUCUCUUUUGCAUUUCUAUCGUCAACAAGUUUUGUAUAAACUUGAGUGUGGUAUAUCACAAAAUAACUUUCAAAAUGUUAUCCAUAUUUAUAUUAUUUCAUGUCGAAUAAUUUUUUUUUUUUGACGUUAUCAAAUAACUUAUUAUUAUGGACUUUUUUUAAAUAAAAUAAUAGAAUCCUUUAUACUAUAAAGCACAAGUCACUUGUCCAAUAAAAUUUAGCCACAUCAGAUUUUAUUUUUAAAAAAAAUUAAAAAAAAAAUUCUCAAACAAACUAAAACACACGAUCAAUGAAAAAAAAACUAAUCCCUAAUUUUUCUCCCUCAAUCACAAGUUAUUUGGCAAUUAAUAAAAUUAAAAGAAUUAAUUUGGAAAACUAAAACAAAAAUAAAUUAGUAACAACCAAAAAAAAAAAAAACACGUUCUAAACAACUUCCUAAAUUUCAGAUUUUUACAACCUUUCUCAUACCUCCACGAUCACCAUUUAGGAGCAAUCUCGGAUAACCACCUCUGUUCUAUCAUUUAUAUUUCUGUGAUUCAUGUCAAUUGAUCCACACAAAAAAAAACGCAAGAUUUCUUCUCAAGCAGUCAAGCCCACAUAAAAAAAAAAAAAUCUUAUGUUGGCAUUGAACGUUUAUUCUCUAAGGUAAACUACUAAUUCAUUUCAUAUUUCUUGACUUUUAUAUUACUCAAUUCUUCUAAAUGUCACUCUAUUCUACUUCUUCUAUACUACGACACCUAUAUUUAACAUGCAAAUGUUUUCUUAGAUCAGAAAACUAAUUAAGGUUUAGUUCUUUUUCCAGAAUCUAAAUUAGAGAGGCAAAAGGAGUCAUGAUAAAACAUAUUAAGGUUUUUCUUUUUCUAUCUCUCAUAUUACCCUCUAAAAUCUCUGUUUUAUUCAUGUACCCUUUUUAUGUUUCAAGAAAUCCUCCAUGGCUAACAAAUGAUGAUCUUUAACUGAUGCAGGUUUUAAAAUUUGAUGGUAAGACUUUCAAAAGAUGACAAAGAACCCAACACUUCACCUAGGAAACAUUUCAUCAAGAAAAUUGCAUAAUAUGUAGAUGGAAUUAUAUGUAAGAAUGGCAUUCUACUACUUAAUUAGAUAAUUUGUAACCAUUGUAGUCUCGGUUAAACUGAUACGUUCAAAUGUUUUAAAUCGUUGUUUAAAAUAUUGCAACAAAAUAGUUUUAUAUUUUAAAUAUAUUAAUUCAAACUUAUGCUUAUAUAUCACAUAAAAUC